UACGGAGGGUGCGAGCGUUAAUCGGAAUUACUGGGCGUAAAGCGCACGCAGGCGGUUUGUUAAGCUAGAUGUGAAAGCCCCGGGCUCAACCUGGGAUGGUCAUUUAGAACUGGCAGACUAGAGUCUUGGAGAGGGGAGUGGAAUUCCAGGUGUAGCGGUGAAAUGCGUAGAUAUUUGGAGGAACAUCAGUGGCGAAGGCGACUCCCUGGCCAAAGACUGACGCUCAUGUGCGAAAGUGUGGGUAGCGAACAGG
rnacentral:rRNA from 1 species